GCACACUGAUCCACAACACAAUGAGCUAUAACACACUGAUCCACAACACACUGAUCCACAGCGCAGUGAUCCA